rnacentral:rRNA from 1 species
AGAGUUUGAUCCUGGCUCAGAUUGAACGCUGGCGGCAUGCCCUACACAUGCAAGUCGAACGGCAGCAUGAUCUAGCUUGCUAGAUUGAUGGCGAGUGGCGAACGGGUGAGUAAUACAUCGGAACGUGCCCUGUAGUGGGGGAUAACUAGUCGAAAGAUUAGCUAAUACCGCAUACGACCUGAGGGUGAAAGUGGGGGACCGCAAGGCCUCAUGCUAUAGGAGCGGCCGAUGUCUGAUUAGCUAGUUGGUGAGGUAAAGGCUCACCAAGGCGACGAUCAGUAGCUGGUCUGAGAGGACGAUCAGCCACACUGGGACUGAGACACGGCCCAGACUCCUACGGGAGGCAGCAGUGGGGAAUUUUGGACAAUGGGCGAAAGCCUGAUCCAGCAAUGCCGCGUGUGUGAAGAAGGCCUUCGUGUUGUAAAGCACUUUUGUCCGGAAAGAAAUGGCUCUGGUUAAUACCUGGGGUCGAUGACGGUACCGGAAGAAUAA